rnacentral:rRNA from 1 species
UGGCGGACGGGUGAGUAACGCGUGAGAAUCUGGCUUUAGGUUCGGGACAACAGUGGGAAACUGCUGCUAAUACCGAAUGUGCCGUAAGGUGAAAGAUUAAUUGCCUGAAGAUGAGCUCGCGUCUGAUUAGCUAGUUGGUGAGGUAAAGGCUCACCAAGGCGACGAUCAGUAACUGGUCUGAGAGGAUGACCAGUCACACUGGGACUGAGACACGGCCCAGACUCCUACGGGAGGCAGCAGUGGGGAAUAUUGGACAAUGGGCGAAAGCCUGAUCCAGCAAUGCCGCGUGAGUGAUGAAGGCCUUAGGGUUGUAAAGCUCUUUUACCCGGGAUGAUAAUGACAGUACCGGGAGAAUAAGCUCCGGCUAACUCCGUGCCAGCAGCCGCGGUAAUACGGAGGGAGCUAGCGUUGUUCGGAAUUACUGGGCGUAAAGCGCACGUAGGCGGCUUUGUAAGUUAGAGGUGAAAGCCCGGGGCUCAACUCCGGAACUGCCUUUAAGAC